GAGGCCCUGCUAGGGCCGUAACAAUCACUAAAUAUAAAAAAUAUAUAGUUUUUGUAUCACACAAUAGUGAUUAUUGUUCUUGUGUUUCUUUAUUCCUCAAGACCUCCCAAAACAACAUGACUGUAAGGAAGAGGAGGAUCUGGAUGAGCAGCAGGUCUGUAACCAGGAGAGGAACUCCAGUCUGGACCAAGAGGACCCAGAGACUCCACAGAUUAAAGAGGAAAAGGAGGAACUUGGCAGCAGUCAGAAGGGAGAGCAGCUUGGGCUGAAGCAGGAGGCUAAAGGCAUUAUUGUCUGGACUGAUAAAAAGCAGCUCAGACUGCUGGAGACCAUCUGGAAACCUGUGAUAAAGUUACACAGAAUGGCAGCAUGCUUUUGAGGAAGAGGAGGUUCUUACAGACCAGCACGUCUUUAACCAGGAGAGGAACUCCAGUCUGAACCAGGAGAAACCAGAGAAUCUACAGAUUAAAGAGGACCAGGAGGAACUCUGCAGCAGUUAGAAGGGAGAGCAGCUUGGGCUGAAGCAGGAGGCUGAUACCUUCAUGGUGACACCCGCUUAUGAGGAAAGUGCCUACAGUAAACCAGAACCAAACAGUGAGCAGCUCCUUUCUCACAGCUCUCCUGAAGCAGAGACCCGAGAUAAUGAAGAAAGUCAGCAUGUGGACUCAGGAACUACUAGAAAUACAGAGCUGAAUGAGAGACGUCACAGUCAAAGAGUACAACCUUCCUGUGUCAUCAAGUAAAAGUAGAACGGACACAAAGAACAAGUCUGUACAAUGUGAAGUGUGUGGAAAAACUUUACAGGAUAAAUACAAUAUGAUUACACAUCGAAGAGUUCACACACCUGUGGGAAAACAUUUGCUACUUCAUUAGAAGUCAAAAAACACACAAAGUCACACAGGUGAGAAGCUGUACCCUUGUAGCACCUAUGAGAAAAGAUUUGCUACCUCAUCAAAGGUCAAAACACACAUGAGAAUUCACACAGGUAAAAAUCCGUAUUCUUGUAGCACCUGUGAGAAAAGAUUUGCUACCUCAUCAAAGGUCAAAACACACAUGAGAAUUCACACAGAUGAAAAGCCGUAUUCUUGUAGCACCUGUGAGAAAACAUUUGUUGAGAGGAACAAAUUAAAGAAGAACAUGAGAAUUCAUACUGUUUAAAAUGUUAAUUCUUAUAAAAUGUGGGACCGCUGUGAGUCAUCGCUGAACACCUGAGGGAAAAGAUGGUCCAUAUUCAAUCAGUAUUUUUCUAUCUAGAGCAGUAAAGAACUCUCAGCGUUGUUUUUUCAGUUUAUUACGUUAUUCUAUUAAUUGUUUCAGGGAAACUUACAUCUUACAUUUCACGAAAGUUAGAGUUCUUUAUGCUCCUGUUCUGUUGGUUCAUUGUUUAGGUCUGUUCAUUAGUAUUGCUUUAUACACUAUAAUGGCACAAAUGGACCAAAAACCAGUCCAAAUCCUCUGGUUUAUAAUUUUAAUCCUUUCGUCAAGUGAGUUUUUGCCACAAUAAAAAUGAACAAAAAUGAGCAACAGUCAAGGAUUGUG